UACGAAGGGGGCUAGCGUUGCUCGGAAUCACUGGGCGUAAAGGGCGCGUAGGCGGAUCUUUAAGUCGGGGGUGAAAGCCUGAGGCUCAACCUCAGAAUUGCCUUCGAUACUGGAGAUCUUGAGACCGGAAGAGGUAAGUGGAACUGCGAGUGUAGAGGUGAAAUUCGUAGAUAUUCGCAAGAACACCAGUGGCGAAGGCGGCUUACUGGUCCGGUUCUGACGCUGAGGCGCGAAAAGCGUGGGGGAGCAAAACAGG
rnacentral:rRNA from 1 species